GUGCCAAGCAGCCGCGGUAAUUCCAGCUCUAGAAGCGUAUACAAAAGUUGCUGCAGUUAAAAAGCUCGUAGCCGGAGUUCGGCGUUGUUUCAGGUCUCUCCAGAGUUUCUGGAGUGGGCCUUAGGGCAGCGCUUAUGUACGCGGAACCACGGGACCAUUCACUUGGCCUCGCGGGAAAACGUGCCGUUUACCAUGAGUAAAUGGGAGUGUUUAAAGCAGGCGUUCGCCUGAACUUUUCAGCAUGGGAUAAUAGAAUAAGACUGCGUCUUAUUUCGUUGGUUUGCAAGAUAGCAGUGAUGAUUAAUAGGGGCGUUCGGGGGCAUCGGUAUUACCUGGGAAGCGGUGAAAUGCGUAGAUCCAGGUAGGACCACCGGAAGCGAAAGCGUUUGUCAAGGGCGUUCCCAUUGGUCAAGAACGAAAGCUGGAGGAUGGAAGAAGAUUAGACACCUUUGUACUUCCAGCUGUAAACUAUUCGGACUCGGGAUCGGUGAGCGAGUUCUUUUCCCCAUCGGUAUCGUAAGAGAAAUCAAAGUCUUUGCGUUCUGGGGGGAGUAUGGUCGCAAGGCUGAAACUUAAAGGAAUUGACGGAAGAACACACAAGAAGUGGAUACUGCGGUUCAAUUUGACUCAACACGGGGAAACUCACGCGUCCAAGACACAGGUAGGAUUGACAGAUUGAAAGCUCUUUCUUGAUUCUGUGGGCGAGUGGUGCAUGGGCCGUUCUUAGUUCGUGGAGUGAUUUGUCUGCUUUUAUUGCGAUAACGAACCGAGACCUCCGCCUGCUAAAUAGUGCAGUGAAAUCUUUGUAUUCAUUGACGCCUUCCUUAGAGGGACCAACCCACCCGCCAAGGGUGGGGGAGAUGGGAGGCCAAUAACCAGGGUCUGUGAUGCCCAACGGCCGAAUCCCAGCACACCUGGGCGGGCCCGAUACUAGUUGCAUCCGAGCCUCCGUACCGAGCCUUGGCCGUAUCAUGU
rnacentral:rRNA from 1 species